rnacentral:rRNA from 1 species
GUUGUAUAGUCAAGUAAUUAAGUGCAUGUGGUGGAUGCCUUGGCAGUCAGAGGCGAUGAAAGACGUGAUAGCCUGCGAAAAGCUCCGGGGAGGCGGCAAAUAUCCUUUGAUCCGGAGAUGUCUGAAUGGGGGAACCCACCUACUUUAAGGUAGGUAUUGCAACAUGAAUACAUAGUGUUGCAAGGCGAACGAGGGGAAGUGAAACAUCUCAGUACCCUUAGGAAAAGAAAUCAAUUGAGAUUCCCUCAGUAGCGGCGAGCGAACGGGGAUCAGCCCAUUAAGUUAUGUGUGUUUUAGUGGAACGCUCUGGGAAGUGCGAACGUAGAGGGUGAUAUUCCCGUACACGAAAGGGCACACAUAAUGAUGACGAGUAGGGCGAGGCACGUGAAACCUUGUCUGAAUAUGGGGGGACCAUCCUCCAAGGCUAAAUACUCCUGACUGACCGAUAGUGAACCAGUACCGUGAGGGAAAGGCGAAAAGAACCCCUGUGAGGGGAGUGAAAUAGAUCCUGAAACCGCAUGCAUACAAGCAGUGGGAGCACCUUCGUGGUGUGACUGCGUACCUUUUGUAUAAUGGGUCAGCGACUUAUAUUCAGUAGCAAGGUUAACCGUAUAGGGGAGCCGUAGAGAAAUCGAGUCUUAAUAGGGCGUUUAGUUGCUGGGUAUAGACCCGAAACCAGGCGAUCUAUCCAUGAGCAGGUUGAAGGUUGGGUAACACUAACUGGAGGACCGAACCCACUGUCGUUGAAAAGCCAGGGGAUGACUUGUGGAUAGGGGUGAAAGGCUAAUCAAGCCUGGUGAUAGCUGGUUCUCCCCGAAAGCUAUUUAGGUAGCGCCUCGGACGAAUACCAUAGGGGGUAGAGCACUGUUUCGGCUAGGGGGUCAUCCCGACUUACCAAACCGAUGCAAACUCCGAAUACCUAUGAGUACUAUCCGGGAGACAGACUGCGGGUGCUAACGUCCGUAGUCAAGAGGAAAACAAUCCAGACCGCCAGCUAAGGCCCCAAAAUCAUAGUUAAGUGGGAAACGAUGUGGGAAGGCAUAGACAGCUAGGAGGUUGGCUUAGAAGCAGCCACCCUUUAAAGAAAGCGUAAUAGCUCACUAGUCGAGUCGGCCUGCGCGGAAGAUGUAACGGGGCUAAAACUAUGUGCCGAAGCUGCGGAUGUAUACUUUGUAUACGUGGUAGGGGAGCGUUCUGUAAGCCGAUGAAGGUGUGUUGAGAAGCAUGCUGGAGGUAUCAGAAGUGCGAAUGCUGACGUGAGUAACGACAAAACGGGUGAAAAACCCGUUCGCCGAAAGACCAAGGGUUCCAGUCCAACGUUAAUCGGGGCUGGGUGAGUCGACCCCUAAGGCGAGGCCGAAAGGCGUAGUCGAUGGGAAAAUGGUUAAUAUUCCAUUACUUCUGUGUAAUGCGAUGAGAGGACGGAGAAGGCUAAAUCAGCCUGGCGUUGGUUGUCCAGGUGAAAGGAUGUAGGCAUGUAUCUUAGGCAAAUCCGGGGUACUCUAUGCUGAGAUCUGAUAGCAAGCUGUACUUGUACAGCGAAGUGGUUGAUGCCAUGCUUCCAGGAAAAGUCUCUAAGCUUCAGUUACACAGGAAUCGUACCCGAAACCGACACAGGUGGUCAGGUCGAGUAGACCAAGGCGCUUGAGAGAACUCUGCUGAAGGAACUAGGCAAAAUGGUACCGUAACUUCGGGAGAAGGUACGCUGUUGUUGGUGAUGGAACUCGCUUCCUGAGCUGACGACAGCCGCAGAAACCAGGCCGCUGCAACUGUUUAUUAAAAACAUAGCACUCUGCAAACACGAAAGUGGACGUAUAGGGUGUGAUGCCUGCCCGGUGCUGGAAGGUUAAUUGAUGGGGUUAGCGUAAGCGAAGCUCUUGAUCGAAGCCCCAGUAAACGGCGGCCGUAACUAUAACGGUCCUAAGGUAGCGAAAUUCCUUGUCGGGUAAGUUCCGACCUGCACGAAUGGCAUAAUGAUGGCGGCGCUGUCUCCAGCAGAGGCUCAGUGAAAUCGAAAUCGCUGUGAAGAUGCAGUGUACCCGCGGCUAGACGGAAAGACCCCGUGAACCUUUACUGCAGCUUGACACUGAACUUUGACCUUACUUGUGUAGGAUAGGUGGGAGGCUUUGAAGCUGGAACGCUAGUUCCAGUGGAGCCGUCCUUGAAAUACCACCCUGGUAAUGUUGAGGUUCUAACUCUGUCCCGUGAUCCGGGACGAGGACCGUGUCUGGUGGGUAGUUUGACUGGGGCGGUCUCCUCCUAAAGAGUAACGGAGGAGUACGAAGGUGCGCUCAGCGUGGUCGGAAAUCACGCGUAGAGUAUAAAGGCAAAAGCGCGCUUAACUGCGAGACCCACAAGUCGAGCAGGUACGAAAGUAGGUCUUAGUGAUCCGGUGGUUCUGUAUGGAAGGGCCAUCGCUCAACGGAUAAAAGGUACUCUGGGGAUAACAGGCUGAUACCGCCCAAGAGUUCAUAUCGACGGCGGUGUUUGGCACCUCGAUGUCGGCUCAUCUCAUCCUGGGGCUGAAGCAGGUCCCAAGGGUAUGGCUGUUCGCCAUUUAAAGAGGUACGCGAGCUGGGUUUAGAACGUCGUGAGACAGUUCGGUCCCUAUCUACCGUGGGCGCUGGAAAUUUGAGAGGAUCUGCUCCUAGUACGAGAGGACCAGAGUGGACGAACCUCUGGUGUACCGGUUGUGACGCCAGUCGCAUCGCCGGGUAGCUAUGUUCGGAAGGGAUAACCGCUGAAAGCAUCUAAGCGGGAAGCCUACCUCAAGAUAAGAUUUCCCUAGGACUUUAUGUCCUCUAAAGAGCCGUUCGAGACUAGGACGUUGAUAGGUUGGAUGUGGAAGCAUAGUGAUAUGUGAAGCUGACCAAUACUAAUUGCUCGUGAGGCUUGACUAUAC